GACGAACGCUGGCGGCGUGCUUAACACAUGCAAGUCGAACGGAAAGGCCCUGCUUUUGUGGGGUGCUCGAGUGGCGAACGGGUGAGUAACACGUGAGUAACCUGCCCUUGACUUUGGGAUAACUUCAGGAAACUGGGGCUACUAUCGGAUAGGAGCUCCUGUUGCAUGGUGGGGGUUGGAACGUUUCGGCGGUUGGGGAUGGACUCGCGGCUUAUCAGCUUGUUGGUGGGGUAGUGGCUUACCCAGGGUUUGACGGGUCGCCGGCCUGAGAGGGUGACCGGCCACAUUAGUACUGAGAUACGGCGCAGACUCCUACGGGGGACAGCAGUGGGGAAUAUUGCACAAUGGGCGGAAGCCUGAUGCAGCAACGCCGCGUUCGGGAUGACGGCCUUCGGGUUGUAAACCGCUUUAGCCUGUGACGAAGCGGGAGUGACGGUAAUGGGUAAAGAAGCACCGGCUAACUACGUG
rnacentral:rRNA from 1 species